GUCGGCCUGGCCCGGCAGGUCGGGCUCGUUGAAGCCGAGCAGGUGCGUGCCCUCCGCGGCGGCCCGGCCCAGUUCGGCGUCGGUGACCGAGCC
rnacentral:tRNA from 1 species